UACGGAGGAUCCAAGCGUUAUCCGGAUUUAUUGGGUUUAAAGGGUGCGUAGGUGGUUUUUUAAGUCAGGGGUGAAAGACGGCAGCUUAACUGUCGCAGUGCCUUUGAUACUGAAGAACUUGAAUACACUAGAGGUAGGCGGAAUGUGACAAGUAGCGGUGAAAUGCAUAGAUAUGUCACAGAACACCGAUUGCGAAGGCAGCUCACUAAACUAUUACUGACGCUCAGGGACGAAAGCGUGGGGAGCGAACAGG
rnacentral:rRNA from 1 species